rnacentral:rRNA from 1 species
AACGAACGCUGGCGGCAUGCCUAACACAUGCCAGUCGAACGAGACCUUCGGGUCUAGUGGCGCACGGGUGCGUAACGCGUGGGAACCUGCCCUUAGGUUCGGAAUAACUCCCCGAAAGGGGUGCUAAUACCGGAUAAUGUCUUCGGACCAAAGAUUUAUCGCCGUUGGAUGGGCCCGCGUUGGAUUAGCUAGUUGGUAGGGUAAAAGCCUACCAAGGCGACGAUCCAUAGCUGGUCUGAGAGGAUGAUCAGCCACACUGGGACUGAGACACGGCCCAGACUCCUACGGGAGGCAGCAGUGGGGAAUAUUGGACAAUGGGCGAAAGCCUGAUCCAGCAAUGCCGCGUGAGUGAUGAAGGCCUUAGGGUUGUAAAGCUCUUUUACCCGGGAUGAUAAUGACAGUACCGGGAGAAUAAGCUCCGGCUAACUCCGUG